UACGGAGGGUGCAAGCGUUAUCCGGAUUCACUGGGUUUAAAGGGUGCGUAGGUGGGAAGGUAAGUCAGUGGUGAAAUCCCUGAGCUUAACUUGGGAACUGCCAUUGAUACUAUCUUUCUUGAAUACCUUGGAGGUGAGCGGAAUAUGUCAUGUAGCGGUGAAAUGCUUAGAUAUGACAUAGAACACCAAUUGCGAAGGCAGCUCACUACACGGUCAUUGACACUGAGGCACGAAAGCGUGGGGAGCAAACAGG
rnacentral:rRNA from 1 species